UUAAUAAUUAGAGUGAGGAUAGUAGUGGCCAUCUGCUUCUAAGCAGGGAGCUUAAGUCGGUUGAAAACGAAAAAGUGGCACUCUUUGGUUGUGAGUUUCUCGUCAUGAAUGAAGACGCUGCUAUCUGCUGUGCAGCAUUUAGCGAUGACUCCGCCUCGAAAAUCUAUUUCGACUUUUACCGUGCAGAGUAUUGCGUCUCUCCCGACAGCUUUCAUAUGGGGGCUUCCCCGGUUCUGUCAUUUAGCACGCCC